AGAGUUUGAUCAUUGCUCAUGAUGAACGCUGACAGAAUGCUUAACACAUGCAAGUCAACUUGAACUUCGGUUUGGGUGGCGGACGGGUGAGUAACGCGUAAAGAACUUGCCUCACAGAUAGGGACAACAUUUGGAAACGAAUGCUAAUACCUGAUAUUAUGAUUUUAGGGCAUCCUAGGAUUAUGAAAGCUAUAUGCGCUGUGAGAGAGCUUUGCGUCCCAUUAGCUAGUUGGAGAGGUAACGGCUCACCAAGGCGAUGAUGGGUAGCCGGCCUGAGAGGGUGAUCGGCCACAAGGGGACUGAGACACGGCCCUUACUCCUACGGGAGGCAGCAGUGGGGAAUAUUGGACAAUGGACCAAGAGUCUGAUCCAGCAAUUCUGUGUGCACGAUGAAGUUUUUCGGAAUGUAAAGUGCUUUCAGUUGGGAAGAAAAAAAAGACGGUACCAACAGAAGAAGUGACGGCUAAAUACGUGCCAGCAGCCGCGGUAAUACGUAUGUCACAAGCGUUAUCCGGAUUUAUUGGGCGUAAAGCGCGUCUAGGUGGUUAUAUAAGUCUGAUGUGAAAAUGCAGGGCUCAACUCUGUAUUGCGUUGGAAACUGUGUAACUAGAGUACUGGAGAGGUAAGCGGAACUACAAGUGUAGAGGUGAAAUUCGUAGAUAUUUGUAGGAAUGCCGAUGGGGAAGCCAGCUUACUGGACAGAUACUGACGCUGAAGCGCGAAAGCGUGGGUAGCAAACAGGAUUAGAUACCCUGGUAGUCCACGCCGUAAACGAUGAUUACUAGGUGUUGGGGGUCGAACCUCAGCGCCCAAGCAAACGCGAUAAGUAAUCCGCCUGGGGGAGUACGUACGCAAGUAUGAAACUCAAAGGAAUUGACGGGGACCCGCACAAGCGGUGGAGCAUGUGGUUUAAUUCGACG
rnacentral:rRNA from 1 species